rnacentral:rRNA from 1 species
GGGUUGUGAGGUUAAGCGACUAAGCGUACACGGUGGAUGCCCUGGCAGUCAGAGGCGAUGAAGGACGUGCUAAUCUGCGAAAAGCGCCGGCGAGGUGAUAUGAACCUUUGACCCGGCGAUGUCCGAAUGGGGAAACCCAGUGCAAUCCGUUGCACUAUCGUUAACUGAAUACAUAGGUUAACGAGGCGAACCGGGGGAACUGAAACAUCUAAGUACCCCGAGGAAAAGAAAUCAACCGAGAUUCCCCCAGUAGCGGCGAGCGAACGGGGAGCAGCCCGGAGUCUGAAUCAGCUUGUGUGUUAGUGGAACGGUCUGGAAAGUCCGACGGUACAGGGUGAUAGUCCCGUACACGAAAGCACACAUGCUGUGAACUCGAAGAGUAGGGCGGGACACGUGGUAUCCUGUCUGAAUAUGGGGGGACCAUCCUCCAAGGCUAAAUACUCCUGACUGACCGAUAGUGAACCAGUACCGUGAGGGAAAGGCGAAAAGAACCCCGGCGAGGGGAGUGAAAAAGAACCUGAAACCGUGUACGUACAAGCAGUGGGAGCCUCUUUAUGGGGUGACUGCGUACCUUUUGUAUAAUGGGUCAGCGACUUAUAUUCUGUAGCAAGGUUAACCGUAUAGGGGAGCCGAAGGGAAACCGAGUCUUAACUGGGCGUUAAGUUGCAGGGUAUAGACCCGAAACCCGGUGAUCUAGCCAUGGGCAGGUUGAAGGUUGGGUAACACUAACUGGAGGACCGAACCGACUAAUGUUGAAAAAUUAGCGGAUGACCUGUGGCUGGGGGUGAAAGGCCAAUCAAACCGGGAGAUAGCUGGUUCUCCCCGAAAGCUAUUUAGGUAGCGCCUCGUGAACUCAUCUUCGGGGGUAGAGCACUGUUUCGGCUAGGGGGCCAUCCCGGCUUACCAACCCGAUGCAAACUACGAAUACCGAAGAAUGUUAUCACGGGAGACACACGGCGGGUGCUAACGUCCGUCGUGAAGAGGGAAACAACCCAGACCGCCAGCUAAGGUCCCAAAGUCAUGGUUAAGUGGGAAACGAUGUGGGAAGGCACAGACAGCCAGGAUGUUGGCUUAGAAGCAGCCAUCAUUUAAAGAAAGCGUAAUAGCUCACUGGUCGAGUCGGCCUGCGCGGAAGAUGUAACGGGGCUAAACCAUGCACCGAAGCUGCGGCAGCGACACUAUGUGUUGUUGGGUAGGGGAGCGUUCUGUAAGCCGUUGAAGGUGUGCUGUGAGGCAUGCUGGAGGUAUCAGAAGUGCGAAUGCUGACAUAAGUAACGAUAAAGCGGGUGAAAAGCCCGCUCGCCGGAAGACCAAGGGUUCCUGUCCAACGUUAAUCGGGGCAGGGUGAGUCGACCCCUAAGGCGAGGCCGAAAGGCGUAGUCGAUGGGAAACAGGUUAAUAUUCCUGUACUUGGUGUUACUGCGAAGGGGGGACGGAGAAGGCUAUGUCAGCCGGGCGACGGUUGUCCCGGUUUAAGCAUGUAGGCGGAGGUUCCAGGUAAAUCCGGUACCUUGUUAACGCUGAGGUGUGAUGACGAGGCACUACGGUGCUGAAGUGAUAAAUGCCCUGCUUCCAGGAAAAGCCUCUAAGCAUCAGGUAACACGAAAUCGUACCCCAAACCGACACAGGUGGUCAGGUAGAGAAUACCAAGGCGCUUGAGAGAACUCGGGUGAAGGAACUAGGCAAAAUGGUGCCGUAACUUCGGGAGAAGGCACGCUGAUGUGUAGGUGAAGUCCCUGCGGACGGAGCUGAAAUCAGUCGAAGAUACCAGCUGGCUGCAACUGUUUAUUAAAAACACAGCACUGUGCAAACACGAAAGUGGACGUAUACGGUGUGACGCCUGCCCGGUGCCGGAAGGUUAAUUGAUGGGGUUAGCGGCAACGCGAAGCUCUUGAUCGAAGCCCCGGUAAACGGCGGCCGUAACUAUAACGGUCCUAAGGUAGCGAAAUUCCUUGUCGGGUAAGUUCCGACCUGCACGAAUGGCGUAAUGAUGGCCAGGCUGUCUCCACCCGAGACUCAGUGAAAUUGAACUCGCUGUGAAGAUGCAGUGUACCCGCGGCAAGACGGAAAGACCCCGUGAACCUUUACUAUAGCUUGACACUGAACACUGGUCCUUGAUGUGUAGGAUAGGUGGGAGGCUUUGAAGCGUGGACGCCAGUCUGCGUGGAGCCAACCUUGAAAUACCACCCUUUAAUGGCUGGUGUUCUAACGUAGACCCGUAAUCCGGGUUGCGGACAGUGUCUGGUGGGUAGUUUGACUGGGGCGGUCUCCUCCCAAAGAGUAACGGAGGAGCACGAAGGUUGGCUAAUCCUGGUCGGACAUCAGGAGGUUAGUGCAAUGGCAUAAGCCAGCUUGACUGCGAGCGUGACGGCGCGAGCAGGUGCGAAAGCAGGUCAUAGUGAUCCGGUGGUUCUGAAUGGAAGGGCCAUCGCUCAACGGAUAAAAGGUACUCCGGGGAUAACAGGCUGAUACCGCCCAAGAGUUCAUAUCGACGGCGGUGUUUGGCACCUCGAUGUCGGCUCAUCACAUCCUGGGGCUGAAGUAGGUCCCAAGGGUAUGGCUGUUCGCCAUUUAAAGUGGUACGCGAGCUGGGUUUAGAACGUCGUGAGACAGUUCGGUCCCUAUCUGCCGUGGGCGCUGGAGAAUUGAGGGGGGCUGCUCCUAGUACGAGAGGACCGGAGUGGACGCAUCACUGGUGUUCGGGUUGUCAUGCCAAUGGCACUGCCCGGUAGCUAAAUGCGGAAAAGAUAAGUGCUGAAAGCAUCUAAGCACGAAACUUGCCCCGAGAUGAGUUCUCCCUGAGACCUUGAGUCUCCUGAAGGAACGUUGAAGACGACGACGUUGAUAGGUCGGGUGUGUAAGCGCAGCGAUGCGUUGAGCUAACCGAUACUAAUGAACCGUGAGGCUUAACCUUACAACGCCGAAGGUGUUU